GAAGGUAUAGCUCAAGUGGUAUAGAGCACAUGCUUAGCAUGCAUAAGGUCCUGGGUUCAAUCCCCAGUACCUCCU
rfam:Camelus ferus unplaced genomic scaffold scaffold125142, whole genome shotgun sequence.